CCAAAGGAUUUCGUAAAUCCGGGAUUUACCACGAAAAGAGGGAAUUUUCCGUCAACCGCGGCAUUCAUUUACCGUGAGAUUUGAUUUGGCAUUUUAGGUCGUUUGGCUGGAUUUCGUUCAAAUCCGGCCUUAAAUCCGGCCUAAAUCCGCAUACCAAACAGCCCCUUAAUGGACCUCAAUGCCUUUGAGUCGCUGGCGAUGGAUGAGGAAGGCGAUGAGGAGGAAGAGUUUGGGUUUUCCAGGAACUAUUUCCUUGCAAGAGAACUAGGUAGCUCCAGCCGUAAAAAAUCAGGCCGCAAGCUCUCCGAAAUUGAUCUCGUUGACGAGCAGGUUUUGCGAGCAGCAGUAUCUGAAAUAAGACCAAAAAAUGAGGCAGGGAUUGAGGCUCUGUUGAGGAGUUACAAGGACCAGUAUUCCAAGUGGCUGUUUGUGCUGAGGUGUGGGUUUGGUCUCCUGAUGUAUGGAUUUGGUUCGAAGAAAGUUUUACUUGAAGAUUUUGCUUCUACAGCAUUGACUGAUUAUGAUGUCAUUGUCAUUAACGGUUAUCUACCCUCAAUUAACAUAAAACCGGUUGUGGUCACUAUUGCUGAACUACUCCAGGAUAAGCAACAAUGCAGGCGAAAGGUUUCAACAGGAAACAAGCAAAGAACCCAACAACAAUUUAAUACGCUUUCCAUAGAUGAUCUGUUAACAUAUCUUAAUGAAGAAGUUGAGGAUGUGAAAGAUUCAUUUGUAUGCCUUGUUAUUCACAAUAUAGAUGGACCUGCUUUGAGGGAUUCAGAAUCACAACAAUACCUUGCGCGCAUGGCAUGCUGUUCUAAUGUUCGUGUCAUUGCUUCUAUUGACCAUGUCAAUGCACCUUUGUUAUGGGACAAGAAGAUGGUUCACACACAGUUCAACUGGUGCUGGUACCAUGUUCCAACCUUUGCUCCUUAUAAGGCUGAAGGUGUAUUCUUUCCUCUAAUACUUGCUUCUGGCACCGCAGCCCAAUGCGCACGAACAGCCACAAUAGUCUUGCAAAGUUUGAACCCAAAUGCUCAGAGCGUCUUUAAAGUUCUUGCAGAGUAUCAGCUGGCUAAUGAGAAAGCAGAAGGAAUGCCUGGUAACACUCUUUAUACCAAGUGUCGCGAACGUUUUCUGGUUAGCAGCCAGGUUACACUCAAUUCACAUCUUACAGAGUUUAGAGAUCAUGGAUUGCUGAAGGCCAGGAAACACUCUGAUGGUCAGGAUUGCCUCUAUAUUCCACUUUCCUCUGAAGCACUUCAGAAGUUGUUAUCAGAUUUGGGUUAAAUCCAUACUCCUUGAAAUGGCUUCUCAUCAAUAAAUUCUGGAGCUGCUAUUAGUCAUCUACAGAGACAUCAAUUUCAGGCCACUGGCUGCCUAUUCCACAUCCAUCUCCCCACUCUAUUCGACUCUCAACUGCACCUGAACAAUUUCAAAGCCUUCCUUUGAAUGUCUGUUUCAAAUGUAAGUUCGGAUGUGCCUCAAUCCGCAGCCGCUGAUAUGCCAGAUGAGCUUGGUUUGUUGGAGUCCACAGCUUCCAGCUCUACUAAUGCAAGGACUAUCCAGCCUUCAAGAAAACCUGCAACAGCAUAAAGAACCUAAAUGGCAUACAAAGCUCUGCAAACUCUAUUGUUAUCCAUGGUGAGGAUAGUAGAAUUGGUAUGGUCAAUACCACCGGUUUUCCGAAUGUGAUUACUCAACACCUUGGUCCAAUUAGAAAGGCUGAUCAACUGAAAGGCGCUGCCUCGAAGAUGAGCUCCGGCAGUAGUGAAUGGCGCCGGAUAAAUACAUCCCUGGAAAAAAUCAGUGUUGGCUCUGACAAUAUCUCUUCCACCAAGAUGAAACAAAUAUACGUCGCCAAAUCUGUUUCAACUGCUGAUGCAACCUCAAGCUAAUAGCGGCUCAUCUUUUAGUCAGAAAUUUUUGGUAAUAGAACCAGGUUUUAAUCUUUAUUGUUCUCUCAGAAUGAAAUCAAUAUUCAGUUUUCUACAUCCUUUUUUUUUUGGCCUGGAUUAAGCAAUUUUUUAUUCAUUGUGAGAGUACAGCGUUUAGUCAACAACAUAGCUUUGUUAACAAAAUAAACAUAUUAUUUUGUUUGUAAGCUGCUGUGCUUGGGUGGGAUACUAAUUAUUCUUAUGCUAUGGGCUCCAAAGGGCCGGCUUUGUAGCUGAAUGAAUGAUAUUGGAAUGACAAUUCUUAUGGUGAACAUUGUAUUACAUAGAUUGCAUUUUUUUU